CUCCCUUCCGCCCGCGCUCCUGGCUUUCCCCCGCUCCCCAGCUCGCAGCUUCCACCACGUCGGCCGGCUCAGGACGGGGUUUCCACUGUAAAGUCUCCUGCCAGGGGUGUUGGAGCUCACCGGAUUUGUCCCCGGUGCCUUAUUUAGUUCACUUGGUGAGGUCAUGUUUUCCUGGUUGGUGUUGAUGCUAGUAGAUGUUCUUCAGUGUCUGGACAUUAAAAUCGUGGCCAUGCAGCACCAUAUGAGAGGUUUAAAAAAUAAAAUUAAAAAGAGAAAAGAACCCAGAGUUGAUCUCCGCACCAUGCCAUCACUGCUGCGGAUGAGGAAAUGGUGAUUUCAGGACUGUUUUUUCUGUCUCUUCAGUGCCUCUUUCAGUGAUCUGAGGUUAAAACCAGGAGGGAUAAUCAGUGGAGCCCUCUUUCUGCCAUCUUGCUUUACUCUUACACCCAAGAAUCAGAAUGCAGAACUUUUAAUAAGAAAAGCUUUCAGAACUCAGGAAGGACAAGGAAGACAUUCUGGUUCUCCAUGCUUAACAUUGGACUGUUUCUUCAACUUAGGUGCUUAGCACUGACUAAUCAGGGAUUAUCAUAGAUAAUUUGACUUGAACUAUGCUGUUCAUUCAAAUUCUUUAUCUAGACAAUUUAAGUACUAGCUGAUUUGGCAUGAAAAUCUGGCAAAGUAUUUUCUUGGUAUUCAAUUGAUUUUUAUUCUGCUUGAGUUAGCAGUUUUAUUAACCAGUCAGUCUCUUCAUUAAAGUUCUGGGAAUUCUUACCCAGUUCAAAUAAUGUAAUUCUAAAGUUCUCAAAAACCUGUAUUCAAGAGUGUUUCUCAGGGUCUUCUCCAUCCUUUCAUGAACCUCCUUAAAGAUACAAUAUUCCAGGAUUUUGCAGGCUUGUAAAGUUUUCAGAAACUGCCUCAGAAUUAAGCAAUUUACAGUGGAAAUGACUUUAAACUAUCAUAGUUAGACAUAAUUGGCAAGAUAAUUUUAUUAUUUACAGGUGUGUGCCACCACGCCUAGCCUCUAAAGUAAAUUUAAUAAAACUUUAUAAAUAAAUUUAUCAAAUGUUAUCUUUUAAUCCCAGAUUUUUGUGAACCUAUGCUGUGCAUUUUCCCCCAACUUUCUAUAUUUAUCUAGUUUUAUGUAGUUUUUUUUUUACUUCUUCAAUUUGAAAUCUUUAAGUAACUUCAAACU